UACGGGGGGGGGCAAGCGUUGUUCGGACUUACUGGGCGUAAAGGGCUCGUAGGCGGCCAACUAAGUCGGACGUGAAAUCCCCAGGCUCAACCUGGGAACUGCGUCCGAUACUGGAUGGCUUGAAUCCGGGAGAGGGGUGCAGAAUUCCAGGUGUAGCGGUGAAAUGCGUAGAUAUCUGGAGGAAUACCGGUGGCGAAGGCGGGUCUCUGGACAGUUCCUGACGCUGAGGCACGAGGGCCAGGGGAGCAAACGGG
rnacentral:rRNA from 1 species